AACCCGUACCGGAUCGUGAUCGUGCUCCGGCUGGUGGUGCUCUGCUUCUUCCUCAAGUUCCGGAUCACGACGCCGGCGAUGGACGCGGUGCCGCUGUGGCUGGCCUCGGUGAUCUGCGAGCUGUGGUUCGCGCUGUCGUGGAUCCUCGACCAGCUGCCCAAGUGGUCGCCGGUGACGAGGGAGACGUACCUGGACCGGCUGGCCCUCCGGUACGAGCGCGACGGCGAGCCGUGCCGCCUGGCCCCGAUCGAUUUCUUCGUCAGCACGGUGGACCCGCUCAAGGAGCCGCCCAUCAUCACCGCCAACACCGUGCUGUCCAUCCUCGCCGUCGACUACCCCGUCGACCGCGUCUCCUGCUACGUCUCCGACGACGGCGCGUCCAUGCUGCUCUUCGACACGCUCUCCGAGACCGCCGAGUUCGCCCGCCGGUGGGUCCCCUUCUGCAAGAAGUUCACCAUCGAGCCCCGCGCCCCCGAGUUCUACUUCUCCCAGAAGAUCGACUACCUCAAGGACAAGGUCCAGCCCACCUUCGUCAAAGAACGCCGCGCCAUGAAGGUAAACCUUCUCCACUCCAUCUGCGGGUUGAGUGUCGUGGAUAUACCGGAUUCAAGGGUUUAAUAUAUUGUUUUAGGCAUUUGUGUUGGGGGGACCGAUAUAGCCGGUUAUUUCGAUCCAAAAUUAUUUUAUUUUAUUUUGAAAAAAAAUGAUUAAAAUUUGAAUAAAUAUUAUCAAAUUCACAAAAAUUUGAAAAACAUUUAAAAGUUUCGUCCGAAAUAAUAUCAUAUCAGGUUGUCCAAUAGAACUGAAAUGUCAAAAAUUAUGUUAUGUAAUUUUGAACCCUCAUUCAAUUGGAGCAUCUCGUGAUCAGUCUGUUUUUGGAGAUGUAGGCUAUGGCUAAACUUCGUUACCGAUAUAUCCCUUCUCGAUGUUGUCAUCCAGUUUAGAUCGUCUAUAAGUUUUUUAACACCUACUCUUGAUGUGACAGAGAGAGUAUGAGGAGUUCAAGGUGAGGAUAAACGCGCUGGUGGCGAAGGCGCAGAAGAAGCCGGAGGAAGGGUGGGUGAUGCAGGACGGGACGCCAUGGCCGGGGAACAACACGAGGGACCACCCGGGGAUGAUCCAGGUGUACCUGGGCAGCCAGGGCGCGCUCGACGUCGAGGGCAGCGAGCUGCCGCGGCUGGUGUACGUGUCCCGCGAGAAGCGGCCCGGCUACAACCACCACAAGAAGGCCGGCGCCAUGAACUCCCUCGUUCGCGUCUCCGCCGUGCUUACCAACGCCCCCUUCAUCCUCAACCUCGACUGCGACCACUACGUCAACAACAGCAAGGCCGUCCGCGAGGCCAUGUGCUUCCUCAUGGACAAGCAGCUCGGCAAGAAGCUGUGCUACGUCCAGUUCCCCCAGCGCUUCGACGGCAUCGACCGCCACGAUCGCUACGCCAACCGCAACACCGUCUUCUUCGACGUGAGCACUGCCUUCUUCUCCGGCGUGCGUGCGUCGCGCCGUGACGUGAGCUAACGAUGGUGUCGUUUGAUGUGCAGAUCAACAUGAAGGGGCUGGACGGGAUACAGGGGCCGGUGUACGUGGGGACGGGGACGGUGUUCAACAGGCAGGCGCUGUACGGAUACGACCCGCCGCGGCCGGAGAAGAGGCCGAAGAUGACGUGCGACUGCUGGCCGUCGUGGUGCUGCUGCUGCUGCUGCUUCGGCGGGGGGAAGCGCGGCAAGUCGCACAAGAACAAGAAGGGCGGCGGCGGCGGCGAGGGCGGCGGCCUCGACGAGCCGCGCCGCGGGCUGCUCGGGUUCUACAAGAAGAGGAGCAAGAAGGACAAGCUCGGCGGCGGCGCGGCGUCGCUCGCCGGAGGGAAGAAAGGGUACCGGAAGCACCAGCGCGGGUUCGAGCUGGAGGAGAUCGAGGAGGGCCUCGAGGGGUACGACGAGCUGGAGCGCUCGUCGCUCAUGUCGCAGAAGAGCUUCGAGAAGCGGUUCGGCCAGUCGCCGGUGUUCAUCGCCUCCACCCUCGUCGAGGACGGCGGCCUCCCCCAGGGCGCCGCCGCCGACCCCGCCGCCCUCAUCAAGGAGGCCAUCCACGUCAUCAGCUGCGGCUACGAGGAGAAGACCGAGUGGGGCAAGG
rnacentral:lncRNA from 1 species